GAGUUAUCUUUUUUAGUUUUGAAAACUGAUUUUGAACGAAUUGUUCUUAACUUUU
rnacentral:tRNA from 1 species